CCUACGGGCGGCAGCAGUGAGGAAUAUUGGUCAAUGGACGAGAGUCUGAACCAGCCAAGUAGCGUGAAGGAUGACUGCCCUAUGGGUUGUAAACUUCUUUUAUAAAGGAAUAAAACGAGGCACGUGUGCCUUUUUGCAUGUACUUUAUGAAUAAGGAUCGGCUAACUCCGUGCCAGCAGCCGCGGUAAUACGGAGGAUCCGAGCGUUAUCCGGAUUUAUUGGGUUUAAAGGGAGCGUAGAUGGGUUGUUAAGUCAGUUGUGAAAGUUUGCGGCUCAACCGUAAAAUUGCAAUUGAUACUGGCAGUCGUGAGUACAGUUGAGGUAGGCGGAAUUCGGGGUGUAGCGGUGAAAUGCUUAGAUAUCACGAAGAACCCCGAGUGCGAAGGCAGCUUACUAAACUGUGACUGACAUUGAUGCUCGAAAGUGUGGGUAUCAAACAGGAUUAGAUACCCCUGUAGUC
rnacentral:rRNA from 1 species